rnacentral:rRNA from 1 species
UACGUAGGGGGCAAGCGUUGUCCGGAUUUAUUGGGCGUAAAAGGCUUGUAGGUGGCCACGCCAAGUCGGAUGUGAAAUCUCCCGGCUCAACUGGGAGGGGUCAUUCGAUACUGGCGGGCUCGAGGCCGGUAGGGGGAAGUGGAAUUCCCGGUGUAGUGGUGGAAUGCGUAGAUAUCGGGAGGAACACCAGUGGCGAAGGCGGCUUCCUGGACCGGUUCUGACACUGAGGAGCGAAAGCGUGGGGAGCAA